GACGAACGCUGGCGGCGUGCUUAACACAUGCAAGUCGAACGGAAAGGCCCUGCUUGCAGGGUACUCGAGUGGCGAACGGGUGAGUAACACGUGGGUGAUCUGCCCUGCACUUCGGGAUAAGCCUGGGAAACUGGGUCUAAUACCGGAUAGGAGCCAUUUUUAGUGUGAUGGUUGGAAAGUUUUUUCGGUGUAGGAUGAGCUCGCGGCCUAUCAGCUUGUUGGUGGGGUAAUGGCCUACCAAGGCGGCGACGGGUAGCCGGCCUGAGAGGGUGGACGGCCACAUUGGGACUGAGAUACGGCCCAGACUCCUACGGGAGGCAGCAGUGGGGAAUAUUGCACAAUGGGCGCAAGCCUGAUGCAGCGACGCCGCGUGGGGGAUGACGGCCUUCGGGUUGUAAACUCCUUUCGCUAGGGACGAAGCUUUUUGUGACGGUACCUAGAUAAGAAACACCGGCUAACUACGU
rnacentral:rRNA from 1 species